GGGAGUGAGAUCGAGGAUUAAAUACCCGUGUGGCUCCUCGGUGGCGUCUUUGAAACUGUCUGAGAAAAAUGUUUUUUGCGAAGGGAAAAUCUGACGGGCCAAAAUCUCAAUCUGCAGCUUGUCUCUGGGGUUUUUAAACAACACCAUAUAAUUGGAGUUUAAGCUGAUGGUGCGGCUGUAUUUUCCCUGAUGAAAAACGUUCUGGGUUAGCAUCAUAACCGAGACGUUUUUAUGGUGGCGGUAUUGAGUGAAAAUUUUAACCACUUCCUGGUGAUCCGAGGCCUGAAAGAUGACGUCAUCCAGCACCACCAGAACGUCUCGGAAAUCUUCAAAAGAAUCAGGCAGCCCUUCGAUAAAUUUAAUGUUUUUAUUGGUCUUUGAAAGCUCCUCAUACAUGGGUUGAAAAGAAGUAUAAAUCCACACAAUAUUCGCGGGCACAGUAUCCAUGACGCGUUCACAGUUUUCCAAAACACACUUUACAAAAUGAGUUUUCCCACACCCGCUAGGACCCACAACUAGACAGGAAAAAGGCACUUUCAGUCUGUGAUCAAAAUCGGUUUCCUCCAUUCUUUUUUUUUUUUUUUUUUUUUUUAGAAGAAAACAAAAACACUAGUACCCGAAAGGCAGAGUUGUACCGUCUGGAAAGAGACGUCUCUUGUCGUAAACCACGCGAAACUUUUUCUGAAAUGUUCUGUUUUUGAGCACAAAGCCUCUCUUAUCCCUCUGAAUUCCGUUCUGAGGGGUCUGGAGCUCCGCCUCUUUCAUACCAGAAAGGUAACUUUCCACCAACCCGCUCAUACUGUCGAAAUUGACGCGUUCGCAACAUUCUCUCGUCUGCGUUAUUCCUUUCAUUUUUACCACCAUUUUCUUUUUGUUUCUGGUCCGGUAGGCACAAAUUCCUGGAUGGUGUCCCCGUCUAAUUCGUCCGUGAGAUCCCCUAGAUAGUUGCCCAGCUCUAAAGGUUCCUCCCCCUCUUUCACUACGUAGAUCAGAGAGUCGGUGUCGGUGUACAGAACGCUGCGCUGCAAUUUUUCUAAAUACUCGUAGAGUUUUAGGCGGGCGUAGGCUGUAGUAAAUGCGGC
ensembl:lncRNA